rnacentral:rRNA from 1 species
UACGAAGGGGGCUAGCGUUGUUCGGAUUUACUGGGCGUAAAGCGCACGUAGGCGGACUCUUAAGUCGGUGGUGAAAUCCUGGAGCUCAACUCCAGAACUGCCUUCGAUACUGGGAGUCUCGAGUCCGAGAGAGGUGAGUGGAACUGCGAGUGUAGAGGUGAAAUUCGUAGAUAUUCGCAAGAACACCAGUGGCGAAGGCGGCUCACUGGCUCGGUACUGACGCUGAGGUGCGAAAGCGUGGGGAGCAACAGGG